CUACGUGCCAGCAGCCGCGGUAAUACGGAGGGUGCGAGCGUUAAUCGGAAUAACUGGGCGUAAAGGGCACGCAGGCGGUGACUUAAGUGAGGUGUGAAAGCCCCGGGCUUAACCUGGGAAUUGCAUUUCAUACUGGGUCGCUAGAGUACUUUAGGGAGGGGUAGAAUUCCACGUGUAGCGGUGAAAUGCGUAGAGAUGUGGAGGAAUACCGAAGGCGAAGGCAGCCCCUUGGGAAUGUACUGACGCUCAUGUGCGAAAGCGUGGGGAGCAAACAGGAUUAGAUACCCUGGUAGUCCACGCUGUAAACGAUGUCGAUUUGGGGGUUGAACUUUAGGUUUGGCGCCCGUAGCUAACGUGAUAAAUCGACCGCCUGGGGAGUACGGCCGCAAGGUUAAAACUCAAAUGAAUUGACGGGGGCCCGCACAAGCGGAGGAACAUGUGGUUUAAUUCGAUGAUACGCGAGGAACCUUACCCGGGAUUGAA
rnacentral:rRNA from 1 species